UGAAAUUACUUUCUUGUGUAUCUAUGAUUACACUUAGGGUUUAUCUACAUAGGGAAAUUUGCUGGUAUAAUUAUACCAGUGUAACUAACUCCCCAUGGGGACACUCAGAUUCCAAAAUGAGUAUGAUUUUUACCAGUUUAGCGGUCACUUAGAAAACUGUAUAAGUUAAACCUGAAGGUAGGAUCUGUUAUCCAAAAGAUUAGUUUUUUUACAUAGAUAUAAUAGCUAUACCAUUACAUUUCCUUUUCUAGAUAAGCCCUUCAUAAUGUGUUAACUGCAGUCUAAUCCUCCUCUUUUAGGUCCAUUCUCUCCAGAAAUCAGUCUUUUUUCUCUCUAAAUACUGAAAAAGGAAAAGUCAUCUACUCCAUUAAUAUUAUACCUUAAUCUUGCAUACUUGAGUGCUUUCUGAAUACUGGAAGCAUUUUGUAAACUGAUCUGAAGCCAAAGGUUUUGAAAAUGAGGUUGAAAUCUCACCACCAAAUAAUUAUUUUAUGGAUACAAACAUUUUUAUGUAAUACUGUUAAAAGUGUUUUCAUUUUCUGUAGUUAUGAAAAUAAAGGACAUAUCUCAGAUGUGGGAAACACUAUUUUAAACACUGUUCUUGUUAAUAAGAAAUCUAUAUUAAUAUAUGGCAUACAAAUAUCAGAAUUCAAAAUUAAGUAUAGUACUUGGUGUUUCUCAGUAUCACCUUUUUAUCUAGAGUUAUGGUGGUAAGUAAGGUAUGGAAAUACUAUUCUCACUACUUCACAACAUGGUGGGCGGAGGUGUUUUUUGGUCUCUAUCAUAUCCUUUAUGUAAAUACAGUGAUUUAUUUGUAUGGUCAUAACUUUUAAUCUCAAUGGUGGUUUGAAAAACAAAGCCCUAAUAGUGUAUCAAAACGGGGAUUUUACCUUUUAGGCAGGGUAUGAUUUUGCAUAGUGAGUGUGAGAGUGGCUUGUAGUCAACUAGAAGGAUAUUGUCACUGGCAUUACAGAAGAUGUGAACUGGGCUAUAUUUUAAAAUGGCCACAACUAUGUAUUGAAGCUCAGCAUACCUUCAUUUCUUUUAAUUAAGAAGAGAAAGAUCUGCAUUUCAGGUUUGAGCCCUAGGUUGAUAAGAACUUUUCACAUUCUUCAAAUAUUUUGUCAGGAUCCCCCAGAAAAGAUGGGUAGAUAAUGGCUUGUUUUUUCUCCUGUGAAAAAGGUAUAAUGAAGAAACAGUAGGGAUGAAAGAAUGCCAAAACAAUCAUGAGUUUUAUAUUUAGGUAUGCUUCUAACUGAUCUACCAGUCAAAUUUGCCAAUUGAUUAAGCAAGCUAAAUGUUUUAUUUUGGAAGAUGACGCAUACUUGCUCCUCUUUUAAGAUUAAUAUUAGUAUUUUGCUUAGAUUAACGUUCACAGGCAGCCACUAUCACUUUCAGUUAGACAAUUGUAAUGUGUUACUUACCCUCCUCAUGAAUGACAGACAGUUGUUUAAAACAAAAAACAAAGCAGCCUUUGCUUGGAUGAUUUCUCUAAUCCUGCACUUCAGUAAACGAAAGAUAUGUUUUAAAUAUAUUGCCUGCAUUGUAUGGUAUACAUAUUCUUCUCACUCAUGAUUUUUUUAAGUACAUUAGGAUACUUUCAGUGCAUUUGAGGAGAAGAAAACACCUGUACACUGUAGCUAAAAAAUCAACUCUGCAAAAAUAUAAUGUAAUAAUGACCCAAACCUGAAUAACCUAGUGCAUUGUACUGUUCAGUUAUUUUCUGCAUUUGAAAUAGAAUGCACACACUAAAUGUCACUGAAUUACAGAUCUUUUUGUAAAAUAAAAAUGUAAUUCACACUGGCACACAAGGGGUAAACUGGGUGCCCUUACUGUUGAUAUUAGAUUGACAUCAGUGCACUCCAGUUUUGCUUUCUGUAUAAGUAUUCAUGAGCCAUCUUUAUUUUCUAGCUAGGCUACAAGUACAAGACCAUCCUUUUGGUACAAUUGAUACUUUGCAUCCGUUUAUAUAGCAGUGGAACUGCUGUUGUGUACUAUAGAGGGUAUUUAGGGCUUGUUUUAUGGAGCCUUCCUUGGGUUCAUUCCUCUUCAUAGGUCCUCUGGAUCCCUGCAUACGAGACAUCCACUGAUUGCCAACUGAGGUUGGAGACUGCUGUUGCAUAAACAAGCCAUUGCUCUGCCAGGAGUGCAGCAAGUGAAGCAGACAGUUCCUCAAAGAAUGCUUUAGGCAGCAAUCAUGCUAUGCAAGCCCAGGCUACAAAUAGGGAAGGAAUGGAUGCCAGUGAUGUCACAUUCUGAACAAGAAUAAAGUUAAUGGCGGGGCUGGAGGAAAGACAAACAUUUCCAGCGGCGGUCUGAGAUUGUGAAAUGAAUUUCAACAAGAACUAAGGACUAUCACGAACCUCACCACUUCCUGCUUCAAGUGCAAAGCAUAUUUCUCUGACUAUGCUUUCUCUAACAUAACAUGUUGGUUGCUAUGUGCUUCAUUUAAAAAAAACCCGAAAACCAUCCUACAAGAACAAGACCCUCGAUUGUACACGCUUGCUGUGUAGAAAUUGAGAGAACAAACAUGACAUGUUAAUCCCGUCAGUGCACUAUGGGAAGGUGCUCAAAUACUACAGUAAUGAGAACAGUACAAGAAUGUGUAUAGAAUAAAUAAUCUGCUUUCUUUAACUAGAAAACAAUUAGAGGUUCCCAUAUCUUAUCUGGAAAUACACUGAUCUUUCAGAAAAGCUUUCAGAUGUUGAAGACAACUGAAAACAUUUCCCUGUUCCCCUUUGGGUUUUUUUUCUUUCACAUUUAAUGGCUAUUGUAAUAGUGAUACUGUAUUUUAGUCUGCAAAAGAUAAUGGAAUAUCUGUUUACUGAGUAAUUCUGAAUCAUCUGCAGUUUGCAUAAGAGAAUUUUCACUACUUCCUCACAGUUGAUCAAUUAAUCUUGUUAUAUUUCAUUUUGCAUGACAUUUAACCUUAUAUUUUCCAAGCUGUAGCAUAACAUCUGACUAUUUUAGUGGGAGUUGACCAAGCAAAACUCAAAAAAGCAAAUAUUUUAGAUGGUAAGAGCUCAAAUUAAAGUUCAUAACAACAGCUUGUGGUGAUUUAAGGAAUCUGUGUACAACUGAUGAAUUCUGGUUAAUUUUAUGAAAUUGUUGCAUCGCUCAAUCAUCAAUAUGCAUGCAUCAGCAAUGAGGUGACAACAUCCCUGACAGAUAUCCCUUCAUGUGAGGAAGAAUCUAACAAGAACAACAACAAAAAGAUGUUAACUUUAAGGGCUGGGCUCUGGCUGAACAGUACAGCUCCCAAGGAGAGUGCUGGAGCAAGGAGAAUAGGUCUAGCCAGAAGGGAAGAGAGAAUGGAAAAUCCCCAGACUGCAGCUUCUCAAACCUGGGUCUGAAGACAGUGGUGAGGCGUGGCUGAAUU